AGAGUUUACAUAUAUAUCAUAAAGUGAUGAACAAAGAGACUGAAACUAAAACCGACACUACAAGAAAACACGCCGAAUUCCGACGGAGGUUCCGACGGACUACAAUGUCGUCGGACGUUUGUGACGGAUUUCCGACCAAUUUCCGACGAAAACAAAAAAAUUGAAGUCGUCGGAAUUCCGUCGGCCAUUUCCGACGAAUUUCCGAGGAAAAAUGGCUCGUCGGAAUAUUCCGACAACUUUUCGACGACAUUCUGAUAAAACAUAUAACCGUUGUAGUCGUCGAAAAUUCGUCGGAAUAUACCGACGAACUUCCGACGACAUUCCGAUUAACAGAUAUAACUGUUACCGCCGUCGGUAUUCCGUCGGAAUUUUCUGACGAAUUUCCGAUGAACCAUGUUUCCGUCGGAAAUCCCUCGCAAAAUACCGACGACAUAGUGACGACAAAGGGUUCCAUUGAAGUUUGGAAAUGUCCUCCGUAAUUCGUCAGAAUUUACCGACGACAUUCCGACGAACUUGUCUAGUUCGUCGGAAUGUCGUCGGUAUAUUCCGACGAAUUACCGAGGACAUGUGUUUCUAAAAAAUUUCAAACAUAAAAAUCUAUAAAUUUAGAUGCCAAAACUAUGAAUAUAACACAUAAUAAGUGUUUAGUAUAGUAUUAGAUCACAACCGUUCAAAUAUAACAACUCAUUAAAAUAUUUAUGUAUGCAUAUCAUUGUUUUCAUAACAUCUCAUCUUAACACUCAUAUACUUAUACAAUCAUAUUCAUCUAAUCUUACACUACAAAAAAUGUUGUUGUGUAAAAUCGUGUUAUAAGAACAUUUUUAAUGUUAAAUCUUUAUGCAAAUACUAUAUAUAUUACCAAAGAUUUAGAUUUUGCAUUUAGAAACUUGUAAUCAACCCCUAAACACUAAGUCGUCGGAAUUCGGUCAGAAAAAGUUGUCAGUAUUCCGUCGGAAUAUACUGACGGACACCAAUUCCGUCGGAAUUUCAAUUUACCCGGGAAAACCAAACCACGUGAAAAUUUUCGCGAACCGCCAAUUGGUAUAUAUUUAAUUAUCCCGACGGUAUACUGACGAAUCUGUGUCCGUCGGAAACGUUAAAUAUAAUUACCCUUCUUCUUCCUUCUUCGUUAUUUCCGCCUCCGCCUCUCUCUCAAUCCUCUGCGCGAUUUCUCUCCCUUUCACGGCGAUUCCGACCAUUCUCGAGCUCCUAUCACCGGCGAAUCCUCUUCUCACCCUCAUAUCUCUUCCCCAAACCCCAAAUCAUUUCCGAGGAUGUACCCCGCCCCGCAGCCCGUCUUCGACGUAGUUUGGUGAGCAGUUCCCGUGCAUCGGGAUCGUCUCACGAACAAAACUCGGUUCCCGCAUAUAUUCCCGCUCCAGAAGAAGUUCAACGCCGAGAUAAUGCAGAAGCUAGAUCGUUUGAUGUCUUCGAGUUCUUAGUUUUUUCUGCUUUUUAAAACUUUCUGAAUGUUUUUUUUCUAUUUCGGUUUGUAUGAAUUUUUAACUUUCUGAAUGUUUUUUUUUCUAUUUCGGUUUGUAUGAAUUUAAAUUCUAUAAUAUUAUUAGUUUUAAAUUUCAGAUUUUAUUUAUUUAUUAAU